rnacentral:rRNA from 1 species
UACAGAGGUCCCAAGCGUUGUUCGGAUUCAUUGGGCGUAAAGGGUUCGUAGGCGGUGUGGCAAGUCGGGAGUGAAAUCUCUGGGCUCAACCCAGGGUCUGCUUCCGAAACUGCUGUGCUUGAGUGUGGGAGAGGCGCGUGGAAUUGCAGGUGUAGCGGUGAAAUGCGUAGAUAUCUGCAGGAACACCCGUGGCGAAAGCGGCGCGCUGGACCACUACUGACGCUGAGGAACGAAAGCUAGGGGAGCAAACAGG